GUCUGUGCACCUCUGCUCUCACCAGCCUGGCCCCAGCCUGGCCCCAGCCCAGCCUCCCUGAGCCACUGCAGCAGUCUCCCAGAGGCUCAAAAGUGGUGCUUAAGACUUGCAUUUGAGAAAGAUGGGUUUUGGAUAAAUGUGGAGGAUGGACUGGGGGCCAGUGAGAAGGGGACAAGGGAUAGUUUCAGCAACCCGUUCCUUCAUGUGUUCACUGAAGUCAUGAUGCACCGUGAGGGCCUGCUGUGGGCCAAAGCCUGGGAGGGGACUGGGGAUAGAGAAUGGAGUGUCACCCACAGAGAGAAGAGGUUCAUUGGGCGGGGAGACGGCUGAAGUUGCCAAGAGAGAGCUCAAAGGGAGGCAGGGCUGAGGCCAGAAACCCUAAGGGAUGGAUCAAGGAGAGGAAUUGAGGAAGGACAGAGAGCAGGAGCAUAUGGACAGAGGAGAGGCAGAAGCCGGGCUCUGCAGGGCUGUGGAAGCUGGAGGAGUAGGUUGUCCCAGAGUCCCGUACCCCUGGGGAUCCAGGAAGUUACACUGAGGUGAGGCCAACUGCUCUGUGUGUGGAAGCCAGAGAAGAAAGCAGCACAGAACAGAUGCAAACCAAGGAGGCUGGAAGAUAAGAGCAGAGCCAUCAGGACACGAGCCCCUCGCGGGUAUGAAACAGGAGUCGUGGGAGCAAAUUAAGCUUCCUGUGUGCAGCAUGGAUCUAAAGCUGGUGGAUGCAGGGGGGUGAACAAGACAACAUCUUCACUUCCUGCAUGCUGAUGGCAGAAGUGAGACAUCAGCGAAGAAACAUCACGAUCACCAAAUUACGAUGAACACCAUGGAGGAAACAAAGGACACUGUGACACCAAGGAAGGAAGGGAGGUUACUUUUCAUAGUGGCUGUAAAUAGAACUGAAGGCUGAAAAACAGCUGUUAAAAUGGCUUGUUUGUUUGAAGAUGAAUGAGAGUACACAAUAAAAGGAAAAAAAUUUGGACACAGACACACACAGAGGGAUGACCACGUGGAGAUGCAGGGAGAGGAUAGCAGCUACAGGCCAGGGCGAGAGGCCUCAGAGGAAACCAGUCCUGCUGACUCUUUGAACUCGGACUUCCAGCCUCCAGAACUGAACCACUGUCUUCCUUUAUCCCAGGAUGUCUGCAAGGAAGAAAAUGUCCUUUUUCUAGCAUUUAGAGGCCACCAACAUUGAAUAACCACACUGGGGUAGACACAGCGGCGAAGAGAUUCCUGCUGUUCCCAUCACAGCAGCCUUGGAGAUGAGAAGACAGAUGGAUCUGACCAGAGUGAGUCCCAGCCCGACCUUCUCCCACACACUCUACACAUCAGCUAUCAAGACUGAGCCAGCCUUGUGAGGGCAGAGUGGGAGGGAGAUGAGGCCCAAGGUUCUUAGAAUUCACCUGGCCUCAUCAGGACCUUCAAGAUCUUCCUCUCUUCUCUGCUACCAAAACUGUGUGAGGGGGAAAAAAAGCCAGGGUAAGAUUGGAAAUUCAGCCACCCACAUCCUUGCAGUGACUAACAGCUGUUAAGAGACAUUUUAUUUGUGUUUUGUUUUGUGACAGAGUCUCCCUCUGUCACCCAGGCUGGAGUGCAGUGGUGCAAUCUCAGCUCACUGCAACCUCUGCCUCCUGGCUUUAAGUAAUUCUCCUGCCUCUGCCUCCCGAGUAGCUGAGAUUACAGGGGCCCGCCACCACACCCUGUUAAUUUUUGUAUUUUUUAGUAGAGACGGGGUUUCACCAUGUUGGCCAGGCUGGUCUCAAACUCCCGACCUCAGGUGAUCUUCCUACCUUGGCCUCCCAAAGUUCUGGGAUUACAGGUGUGAGCCACUGUGCCCAGCUAAGGGACAUUUUAAUAAACCCCAAACUGCAAACAGCCUUAAGCUAAAAAAUGGUAUUCUGAGCAUGUAUUCUCAGAUAGGAAGGUUUAGAAGAGCCCAGCGAAGCUGGCUUAGUGCCCUUCAAGUCACCCCAAAAGAGCUAGCUGCCUGACUGAAGCCAGAGCCUGCCCUCCUUUUAAUGUGUACAGCAUCUCACGGACUGCCCUGUUUACAGCACCUCUUACGGUUAGAUGUGGCCACCACAAGGAUGCUCUGCUGUGUUCAUGGACAGCAUAGCCAUGGGGGGGACACGGGCUCUGGGGUCAGAUUUGUUUCUGUUUGUGUCUCAGAUCUGCGACUUAAUAUGUGUGACCUCAGCGAGUUACUUAUUCCUCCUGUGCCUCAGUUUCCUCAUAUGCAAAGUGGGAUAAUAAUGGCAACUCCCACAUAGGGUUUGCUGAGGAUUAAAUGAGUGAGUACACGACUGUAGCACGAUGUAGGAGUGUUUAAUGGCAUUAUCGUCAUGAUUAGCUGUGUGGGCCUUGGCUUCCCAUCUGUAGCAUAGAGCUACCAAUACCUACCUAUGGCAUAUUGUUACUUUGGGGAUUAAACGAGACGCUGAAUGACAAGCACAUGGCAUAUAGGUGCAAGUGUUUGUUCCUUUCCUGCUUCUACCAUUUUUUUUCCCGAGACAGAGUCUUGCUCUGCCGCCCAGGCUGGAGUGCAGUGGCUUGAUCUCAGCUCACUGCAACCUCCACCUCCCGGGUGCAAGCAAUUCUCCUACCUCAGCCUCCUGAGUAGCUGGGAUUACAGGCGCCAGCCACCACAUCUGGCUAAUUUUUGUAUUUUUGGUAGAGACGAGGUUUCACCAUGUUGGCCAGGCUGGUCUCAAGCUCCUGACUUUGUGAUCCACCUGCCUCAGCCUCCCAAAGUGCUGGGAUUAUAGGCAUAAACUAUCGCGCCCAGCCUGCCCCUUCUACUAUUUUAAGGAACACUGGUGAUUCAGUUAACAUCUCAUCUGGCAGGAACAUUCAUUGAUACCAACAUCCUCAACAUCUAACCGAGUUGAGUAACCAGAAUAACUACCUCCAGGGUCAUGCUCUGAGGAUUCCAGCUUUAUCUGUAGUGAAACUUUCUCUGACAGCCUGCUGAUUUCCCCUUCCCAGAUACAAAGUCCUUUUGAUCACUUACUAUGAGUCAGACACGUUCUGAGCUUUAUCUCCUUUAAUCCUCACCAUAACACCAUGAGGUAGAUAUCAUCAUCCCUGUUUUAUAGAUGAGAAAAGUUGAGCGUAAAAAG
rnacentral:lncRNA from 1 species